rnacentral:lncRNA from 1 species
UUUCUCAAGACUUCAGCUGCUUUGUUGGCAGCCAGGCCUGGCUCUCAGCAGCUCUGCAGGCUGGAAGGGCCCAAGAGACCCUUCACCCACCCGGUGUCUCCAGCAGCAGGGAGGGGUCCGGGGCACAGCCCAUUGCUGCUCUGCUCUCCUCCCUUCUUGGGUGUCCUGCAGGUUUCUGUGAGCAGAGCAGACAGAAAGGAGAUGCCCAGUGAUGCCAGCUGUCCCCUGCAGAGCUUCCUGGAGCCUGGGCUCUAGGCUGAGGGUCCUUGAACAGACGUCAUCUCCCUGGCUUCAGCAGAAUCACCCACAAACCCACCCUGUGCCCACCCUCCCAUCACAGAGAGCAGCUGCUGGAGAACAAGGCAUGAGACUUUGGAGACCUGGAGGAGCAGGAGACACAGGAGACAAUGGCCAGGAUGGUCAUGGUGGCACGGCUACGCCAUCACUGAUUUCUGCCCACCCGCCCCCUAAGUCUCACUUGCUGCUACUCUCAAUUUCCUAGUUAAUGCUUCGGAGAGCACCAGUCCUGAGAUGAGAGGCGGGAUGUUCACUCUCUGGGAGUUGAGAUGGAACCCAGGCAGUUAGAAAAAAGUGCCACAACCACGUGCUGGGCCUACUACUUGCCAGGAGCUUCGUGAGUGCCCUGUCCAUGCAUGGGGCUGUGCUAGGAGAGGACAGGAUCAUCCCCGGAAGCUGCUCCUGCGUCCACUGCUCACGGUGGCAGCUGCUUGGGCUGACAACCGCCCCUCCCUCCUGCUGAUGAGUCCGUGGAUGUAUUCAGGCACAUGGCAGCAAGGUCUCCUGUGUCCCAGAGGCGACUAGGACCCACAAGUGAGCAGCAGGUGCCCCCCUCCCUCAUGCUAAUGCUCAUCACGGGACGAAACCCAAGGUGGUAUUGGAGCCAGGGGCUGUGGCCAUGACAGCCACCCACUCCAGACGAUAUCCACAUUCGGAAUAGUUCAGAGUGGCCUGCCUUGAUGACAUCACGAAGUUCUCCAUGGAAAUGUGUCACAGAACCAGAACUUAAUGGCAUUUGGAUGAGGUUGAGAUGAGAUCAGGUCACAGAAGAACGUUAUCAAGUUAGGUGGGAAACAGCUGGAGACUCUGGAAUGUCCUCAGGACCUUUAUCUAAGCAAACACAUGAUAAGCCAGACCUACUUUCCUUGGACUGGCCCUCAGGUGCAGCCCUUGGUCUCUCCUUUCUUUAUCGCAUGAGCCCGCUUGGUUUCUGUACAUUUUGUCCACUGGUGCUGACGGCUGGACACCCUUUCCUGAAGGAGAUGGGGCAUAGAGUGAGUGGAUGAUGAUGGGCUGUGACAGGGCCCGCUGCCAAGGAUGUGGGCUACAAGGUGCGGGCUGGGAAGGAAGAGGAGGACCCUGCAUCUCAGGGGGCAACCAGGAGCACAUUCUGGGGAGCACACACCUGCGGUGUUAUCAUGGCCACUGCCCAUGACCUGGACACUGGAAUAAACAGGAUGUGGCGAA